rnacentral:rRNA from 1 species
AAUCAACGCUGGCGGCGUGCCUAACACAUGCAAGUCGAACGAGAAGGGGACUUCGGUCCCUGAGUACAGUGGCGCACGGGUGAGUAACACGUGACUUAUCUACCCUCGAGUGGGGAAUAACUUCGGGAAACCGAGGCUAAUACCGCAUAAUACCCACGGGUCAAAGGAGCAAUUCGCUUGAGGAGGAGGUCGCGGCCGAUUAGUUAGUUGGCGGGGUAAUGGCCCCACCCAAGACGGUGAUCGGUAUCCGGCCUGAGAGGGCGCACGGACACACUGGAACUGAAACACGGUCCAGACUCCUACGGGAGGCAGCAGUGGGGAAUUUUGCGCAAUGGGGGAAACCCUGACGCAGCAACGCCGCGUGGAGGAUGAAGUCUCUUGGGACGUAAACUCCUUUUCGAUCGGGACGAUUAUGACGGUACCGGAAGAAGAAGCCCCGGCUAACUUCGUG